rnacentral:rRNA from 1 species
GACGAACGCUGGCGGCGUGGUUAACACAUGCAAGUCGAACGGUGAAAGUGGAGCUUGCUCCGCUGGAUCAGUGGCGAACGGGUGAGUAACACGUUGGCAACCUGCCCCAGACUUCGGGAUAACUCCUCGAAAGAGGUGCUAAUACCGGAUACGAAGCCCUCAGGCAUCUGGGGGCUUGGAACGUUUUUCGGUCUGGGAUGGGGCCGCGGCCUAUCAGCUUGUUGGUGAGGUAACGGCUCACCAAGGCGACGACGGGUAGCCGGCCUGAGAGGGCGACCGGCCACACUGGGACUGAGACACGGCCCAGACUCCUACGGGAGGCAGCAGUGGGGAAUAUUGCGCAAUGGGCGAAAGCCUGACGCAGCAACGCCGCGUGAGGGAUGACGGCCUUCGGGUUGUAAACCUCUUUCAGCAGGGAAGAAGCGAAAGUGACGGUACCUGCAGAAGAAGCACCGGCUAACUACGUGCCAGCCGCCGCAGUAA